UACGUAGGGUGCAAGCGUUGUCCGGAAUUAUUGGGCGUAAAGAGCUCGUAGGCGGUCUGUCGCGUCUGCUGUGAAAACUCGGGGCUUAACCCCGGGCCUGCAGUGGGUACGGGCAGACUAGAGUGCGGUAGGGGAGACUGGAAUUCCUGGUGUAGCGGUGGAAUGCGCAGAUAUCAGGAGGAACACCGAUAGCGAAGGCAGCUCGCUGGGACGGUACUGACGCUGAGGUGCGAAAGCGUGGGGAGCGAACAGG
rnacentral:rRNA from 1 species